ACCUGGGUGGCUCAGUAGGCUGAGCGUCUGACCUUAGCUCAGGUCAUGAUGUCACAGUUCGUGAGUUCGAGCCCCACCUCGGGCU
rnacentral:tRNA from 1 species